CGACGGGUGAGUAACGCGUAUGCAACUUGCCUAUCAGAGGGGGAUAACCCGGCGAAAGUCGGACUAAUACCGCAUGAAGCAGGGAUCCCGCAUGGGAAUAUUUGCUAAAGAUUCAUCGCUGAUAGAUAGGCAUGCGUUCCAUUAGGCAGUUGGCGGGGUAACGGCCCACCAAACCGACGAUGGAUAGGGGUUCUGAGAGGAAGGUCCCCCACAUUGGACUGAGACACGGCCAA
rnacentral:rRNA from 1 species